rnacentral:lncRNA from 1 species
GACACAGAUAGGCUCAAUUAUUGGCAUGUUCAACUUAGAAAUGACAUGGAGAAGGCCUUUGGCAUUCACAACCACAUCAUGUCCUUUGGAGGUGGGACUACUGUCAUGACAUUGUUGCAUGACUCAUAAUUUCGUAAGAAGCAACCAGGAUAUUUCAAUACGUGGAUAGAGGAUCUAGAUGAGGAUGACCCACUUGUUCUAGUGGGUCCAAAUG